rnacentral:snRNA from 1 species
GUGCUUGCUUUGGCAGCACAUAUACUAAAAUUGGAACGAUACAGAGAUUAGCAUGGCCCCUGCGCAAGGAUGACACACAAAUUUGGGAAGCGUUCCAUAUUUUU